rnacentral:rRNA from 1 species
GGAUGAGCCCGCGGCCUAUCAGCUUGUUGGUGAGGUAACGGCUCACCAAGGCGACGACGGGUAGCCGGCCUGAGAGGGCGACCGGCCACACUGGGACUGAGACACGGCCCAGACUCCUACGGGAGGCAGCAGUGGGGAAUAUUGCACAAUGGGCGAAAGCCUGAUGCAGCGACGCCGCGUGAGGGAUGACGGCCUUCGGGUUGUAAACCUCUUUCAGCAGGGAAGAAGCGAAAGUGACGGUACCUGCAGAAGAAGCGCCGGCUAACUACGUGCCAGCAGCCGCGGUAAUACGUAGGGCGCGAGCGUUGUCCGGAAUUAUUGGGCGUAAAGAGCUCGUAGGCGGUCUGUCGCGUCGGAUGUGAAAGCCCGGGGCUUAACCCCGGGUCUGCAUUCGAUACGGGCAGACUAGAGUGUGGUAGGGGAGAUCGGAAUUCCUGGUGUAGCGGUGAAAUGCGCAGAUAUCAGGAGGAACACCGGUGGCGAAGGCGGAUCUCUGGGCCAUUACUGACGCUGAGGAGCGAAAGCGUGGGGAGCGAACAGGAUUAGAUACCCUGGUAGUCCACGCCGUAAACGGUGGGAACUAGGUGUUGGCGACAUUCCACGUCGUCGGUGCCGCAGCUAACGCAUUAA